GUAUCCUGGCUCAGGAUGAACGCUAGCUACAGGCUUAACACAUGCAAGUCGAGGGGCAGCCUGAUUGAAGCUUGCUUCAAUUGAUGGCGACCGGCGCACGGGUGAGUAACACGUAUCCAACCUGCCGGAUAACUCGGGGAUAGCCUUUCGAAAGAAAGAUUAAUACCCGAUAGUAUAGUAUUUCCGCAUGGUUUACACUAUUAAAGAAUUUCGGUUAUCGAUGGGGAUGCGUUCCAUUAGAUAGUUGG
rnacentral:rRNA from 1 species